UACGAAGGGGGCUAGCGUUGUUCGGAAUCACUGGGCGUAAAGGGCGCGUAGGCGGCUUGAUAAGUCGGGGGUGAAAGCCUGUGGCUCAACCACAGAAUUGCCUUCGAUACUGUCGAGCUUGAGACCGGAAGAGGUAAGUGGAACUGCGAGUGUAGAGGUGAAAUUCGUAGAUAUUCGCAAGAACACCAGUGGCGAAGGCGGCUUACUGGUCCGGUACUGACGCUGAGGUGCGAAAGCGUGGGGAGCAAACAGGG
rnacentral:rRNA from 1 species